rnacentral:rRNA from 1 species
GACGAACGCUGGCGGCGUGCUUAACACAUGCAAGUCGAACGAUGAAGCGGCCAGCUUGCUGGUGGUGGAUUAGUGGCGAACGGGUGAGUAACACGUGAGUAACCUGUCCUUCACUCUGGGAUAAGCCCUGGAAACGGGGUCUAAUACUAGAUAUUCUCAAUGUGCCGCAUGGUGUGUUGUGGAAAGAUUUUUUGGUGAGGGUUGGACUCGCGGCCUAUCAGCUUGUUGGUGGGGUAGUGGCCUACCAAGGCUUUGACGGGUAGCCGGCCUGAGAGGGUGACCGGCCACACUGGGACUGAGACACGGCCCAGACUCCUACGGGAGGCAGCAGUGGGGAAUAUUGCACAAUGGGCGCAAGCCUGAUCCAGCAACGCCAGCGUUCGUCCUGAGCCAGGAUCAAAC